GGGGGCGAACCGGUUUCGACGAGGGCAACGAAGUCUGGAGCGCAUGCAGAGGGCGUCCAUCACCUCUUCAAAAGGUGGGCAACGUCACAAACGCCAACGACAACGUUGAGCUCGCGCUCGCCGCCUAAAACGGUCUGAACGCGCGGGACCCCGGAGCCCAGCCGAUGGCGCCGGCAAGUCCCGUCAAAAAAGUCGGCUGGUCCGGCGUGGCACCCCGACGGCGCCGGACGAGAUUCAUUCGGGGAGUGGUCCCGGGGCAGGGUGCCCGUGUUCGGCCCCGGGACGACAUAAAGCACGGGCUAAGCAUGUAGGGCGACCAGAUGGAGUGCUUUCGGACGCGGGUUCGAUUCCCGCCGCCUCCACCA
rnacentral:tmRNA from 1 species